rnacentral:rRNA from 1 species
GGAGGAAAGGUGGGGAUGACGUCAAGUCCUCAUGGCCCUUAUGGGUAGGGCUUCACACGUCAUACAAUGGUCGGUACAGAGGGUUGCCAAGCCGCGAGGCGGAGCCAAUCCCACAAAGCCGAUCGUAGUCCGGAUUGUUCUUUGCAACUCGAGAGCAUGAAGUCGGAAUCGCUAGUAAUCGCAGGUCAGCAUACUGCGGUGAAUACGUUCCCGGGUCUU